rnacentral:tRNA from 1 species
AUUUUAUUAGUAUAAUAUUGUACAUCUGACUUCCAAUCAUUUAGUCCCUUCUGGAUAAAAUA